CACGUAGGGCGCAAGCGUUGUCCGGAAUUAUUGGGCGUAAAGAGCUCGUAGGCGGUCUGUUACGUCUGCUGUGAAAACCCAGGGCUUAACCCCUGGGCUUGCAGUGGAUACGGGCAGACUAGAGGCAGGUAGGGGAGAAUGGAAUUCCCGGUGUAGCGGUGAAAUGCGCAGAUAUCGGGAGGAACACCGGUGGCGAAGGCGGGUCUCUGGACAGUUCCUGACACUGAGGCACGAAGGCCAGGGGAGCAAACGGGAUUAGAAAACCCC
rnacentral:rRNA from 1 species